rnacentral:rRNA from 1 species
UACAGAGGGUGCAAGCGUUAAUCGGAAUUACUGGGCGUAAAGCGCGCGUAGGUGGUUCGUUAAGUUGGAUGUGAAAUCCCCGGGCUCAACCUGGGAACUGCAUUCAAAACUGUCGAGCUAGAGUAUGGUAGAGGGUGGUGGAAUUUCCUGUGUAGCGGUGAAAUGCGUAGAUAUCUGGAGGAACACCGGUGGCGAAGGCGACAUCCUGGACCGGUAUUGACGCUGAGGCGCGAAAGCCAGGGGAGCAAACGGG